rnacentral:rRNA from 1 species
UACAGAGGGGGCAAGCGUUAUUCGGAAUUAUUGGGCGUAAAGGGCGCGUAGGCGGCUUGGCAAGUGGAUGGUGAAAUCCCUCGGCUUAACCGAGGAACUGCCGUCCAAACUGCUUCGCUUGAGACCGGGAGAGGUGAGUGGAAUUCCCAGUGUAGCGGUGAAAUGCGUAGAUAUCUGGAGGAACACCGGUGGCGAAGGCGGCAUCCUGGACCAUUACUGACGCUGAGGAGCGAAAGCCAGGGGAGCAAACGGG